GUCAAAGCUUAAGGGGACACCAAGUGUGUAACUCAGAACUUCACCUUCGAAUGUGGAUGGCAACUCUCUCAGGUUUAUUGAGACACUCGAAAGACCCUCAGUGAAGGGAAGGUCAGGACUGUGGGAGAAAUGGAACCAGAUGACAAACUGAAGUCAAAAUUUCCAGCAAGGUAUCGUUCUGAGCUGCUGGCACCACAAGUGUUUCAGAAAAGCAACAGCAGCCCUUCAAGAGCCCUGCAAACCUUCCAGCACCUUGAAAACCUGUCAUGCCUCUUUGGCUUCUCAGAGUUUAAUAAAGCUUGAUUUGUGUUGAAAACUCCAACUGAAACCAGGUCAAAGAUUUUGACUGGGAUCUCUCCCGGUCUCCUCACACCUGCCAAUGUGUGCACAGACCCAUGGAGAGCUGCCAGAAUCAAAACAGCUAAGCCAUCCUGUUCACAGAAACCUGACCCAUGGAACAGAAACUAAAGAUACAUAAUCAUCCCCAUGUUAUGUGGCACUUUUAAAACAUUUGCUGACCUAAAAAGUAUAUAAAUAUAUACAUUGACAAAUCUGAAGAAACACCAAUACAGCCAGAAUCUUUUCACUUGCUGAAUACAGGGACAUCUGAGCUUCUGCAGCACCAUUGACAGGGGGUCCUCCAAAGGAUAAUGUUGCAAUGAAAAUUUCUCAAAAAUAUGUCUUUUUUUCAGUGAAUGAUAUGCUUUUGUCAAAUGAGCGAUAUUAAAUGGGGAAGUCCCAAAUCCUCUGAGAUGUUCUUCUCUUUCAAAAGCAUUAUUUCUUUCCUAUGUUUGAAUAUGAGUUACGCAAAUAAUGAGCUUGGAUUUUACUCAGUUACAAAUCAUUGAGAGCUUACCUCAAAGACAUCCUCAGGUAUGGCUGCUUUCCACUUAGAUGUCGAUUUGAUAUGUUCAUAGGAAUUGACAACGACCUCCACAGCUCUAGGAUGGGAAUGACAGGCUUGUAGCACCUGCAGGCAGGAUGCAUGGAGACCAUAAGUACCACCAAGAAGCUGGGGCUAGCUUGGAUGCUUGGCACUGUGCAACGAACUGAGACAGACACAGCCAAAGAAUUAUGAGAGGAUAAGGUUGGAGACGCAAAGACACAAGGCCCUUCUACACUAUUCAGCACAAGUUCAGCAAGAAACCCCAGGCUAGUCCCUAGUGGAGGUGUGCAUAUCCCAGUUUAACACCAUACAGAAGUACUGGCUUAGAUCUCUGGAGCAGUCUAGCUGGGGUGGGCUUUAGCACCCAAAUCUAGAGAUAACUUGUUCAUAGCUGGGCUGAGUGACUUGACACCAGGCAAAGCCAUGCACAGAGUCCUUGCUCCAGGUCAUGCAGCACAGGAACACAAUAAAAUCCCUUCAUAUUAAUCAAAAAUGCAUUGCUACAGCAAAAUUUAAAAGAAGACCAGGAGAUAACACAGGUCAGAAGUAAGGUUUUCAAGCCACACAAGGCCCCUGAGACAAUUGUUCUGCCCAGUAACUUUAGCUCAAUAGGGAAAAAAUCCAAAGUCUAUUAUCACUCACCCGUAAGGAAUCACACUUUGCAUUCACCCAAUUUUGUCCCACAGAGUCACCAGAUUUCACAAACAAAACUACAAAACAUCCCUCUGGGAUAAAUAUCAUCCUACAAUUUUUAUAGAUGGGCAAAUGUUGGUUUGGAAGAGACACACAAUUCAUGCAGCAGGAGAAAGGCAGAGGCAGGAAGAGGAGACCCCAGACCUGGCUCUCAAAUGAGCUCUAGGAAAGCAUUGUUCUGUUACAGACAGGGCCCACUCAUCCUGGGUUCAAGAGGGCACAACCAAAAGUUGGGCAUUUUAUUCAAAGGCUUCUGGUUCCUUGGCUUGUUAAAACUUUCUAUCUACAGUGGAGGAACCGCAAAAUGUUGCUCAGGGCAUUGGGUGAGAGAGAAUAAGUCCUGACUACAGCAAGCUUACUUGGUUGUCUAGUAUAUUAAGACUGUUAGGUACUUCUGUCACUUCCUUGGGUUUUGCAGACAUUUAAAAACUUUUCAGGAGAGAUCUUGUAAUUUUUUUUGUUUUGUUUUAGUCACCUAUGAGCCCAGAGCCAGCAUUUCCCUUUAAUUCUCACAUUUCCUGGGAAUAAUCCAAAGCUUUAUUGAGAUGUAUUUAAUUUUGAAUAGACUUGAAUAGAUUUUUAAAGGUCAGAUGUGACAAACUGAAUCAAGUGAUUUCAUCUCUAAUCUUUGGUAGAGACAUGAAAUAUGCAUUUUGUAUAACUCAGUUAAGCCUGUAUGAAGCCAAGUUUGACAAAGGGAUAUAAGUUUUCUGAAAUGAGAAGGUGAA